rnacentral:lncRNA from 1 species
CCUGACCUGACUCCUGAUAAGUGAUGAUUGCUAGAUAAAUGUGCCCUUUAUAAUACCCCCAUUGCCAAUUCCAACUUGUAGCUCGGCUCCAACCUUAUCCACCGUUCGUGUCGCUGUUUUUUCGAACAAUUAAUUAUGAUUAUUCAUUUUUGAAAACCAAAAAAUUAAUCUACAAUCUAUACUCAUUUUAAAUUUGGUUUAGUAGAUGUGGAACAUUAGUACUUCACCCACUAAAUAACAGCCGCGCGACACUCUAUGUUUUCCUAUGCUUUAAAAAUAGAAAAUUUAAGCAACUAACUCACAUCUCCAUGCUAGCACUAUGACGACCAUGGUUACAUUCGAAUAUUAGGGCCAUGAUUCAUUCACAUCUAGUGCCUUAUAUAAAUGGGACACUUUUCACAUCACCACUAUACACUGUUGCACGAUUAAAAUAAAUAUCUCUACCUUCUUCCACUUAUUUAGUAAGCUAAUAUCUCCACCUUCUUCAAAAAUACUCCAAUUCUUCAUUUCUACUUAAACUUUUCUUACAUGAUUUUUUAUUUUCUAAAAAAAGAUUUUCUGAUUUGCAUGGACCAUCAACUAAUAUUUGCAGCAUAAUGUCAAGUAAUUGGGGGAAGGCGUGAGGAGUGAGCUCUAAAGAUGGGCCCAUGCAACGCAAAGAAGGAUUUUUAGCUUUAUCAAAAUGAGGAUAUUUUUAUUUUUUGCACUUCACACAUUGGUUUCAGAAUUAUCAUUCUAGAAGCAAUUGGGGAAGUGCAGAACGCAAUUGUCUCAAAAUGAUUGUAAAUUUGUAACGGUUAGGCUACUAGGAUAGAGUUGUUCCUCCGUACCCUGACAUCCUAUCGCAAUGGGCAUUGGUAGCACCACAUGGGCUGAUUAUACCAUAGCCUAUAUCAACCUAUACAGUAUAUAAGCCCUUUUAAUUUCUACAGUUCCAUUUAUUUUAGCUACCUAAUAUUUUCAGUGGGUUAAAGAUGGACCCUGGCCCAAGACUGAAUGAAUCCAAUUAAUCAUCUCUUGAAACAAUUAAUCGAUCAACAAUCAAUAUAAAAAUAACUUGUCAAAUCAUAAUUAUAAGAAUUUAGUAAUAAGCGUCUUCGCUCAAAAACAAAUAUGAAGUUAAAGCAUUGAUAUUUUAGAAACUUAAAAAAUGUCUAAUAUUUGACUUCUUAAAUUAUUAAAAAUAUUAAAUGAUUCAAUGUAUUAUCAUCUCUUUGUUAGAAUUUUCUUUUGGGACCCAUCGAUUGGGUUCCGACAGGUGAGGGGUACCUGUUCUUUCUGUUCGGUCACAUUACAAAGAGGUGGGUCCGGCUCAAUUUGCUGUCAAUCUGAGAGCAUCUCAUCUCAUCCCUUCUUGGUGAUGGCAACAGUGGGCUCCUUCAUUAAAUGGAAUCGAAUUCAAAGCCCUCGUAUCGAUUUUUCGUCAGCUUCUUUCCCUAUUCAAUGUGCAAGUUAUGUUGUACCUAUACAAGACAAACUAAAAAUUCUAGGGUGGGGUUCCCUCCAUCAUCCACUAGGCUGUAGAGAUCCCUUCUAUUGUCUCUCUUGCUGUUAAAUGUUAAUGAAUUGUCUCUUCAGAGGACCUAGCUACUUCCUCUCUCAAUGAAUCACCAAUUUUAUGUUCAAAGGAGAGGAGUAUAUAU